UUAUUCUCAUUUCAGCAACACAUGUUCUAAAAUUGUAAUAAUACAGAGAAGAUUACCAUGGCUUCUGCACAAGGACUCCAUAGCAAUAUUUUUGAUUUGAUGCAUUUUA